UACAGAGGUCCCAAGCGUUGUUCGGAUUCACUGGGCGUAAAGGGUGCGCAGGUGGGUUUGCAAGUUCGAUGUGAAAGCCCGGGGCUCAACCCCGGAACGGCACCCGAUACUCUGUGGCUCGAGACCGGGAGAGGUGGGUGGAAUACCCAGUGUAGAGGUGAAAUUCGUAGAUAUUGGGUGGAACACCAGUGGCGAAAGCGGCUCACUGGCCCGGUUCUGACGCUGAGGCGCGAAAGCGUGGGGAGCAAACAGG
rnacentral:rRNA from 1 species